rnacentral:rRNA from 1 species
UACGUAGGGUGCAAGCGUUGUCCGGAAUUAUUGGGCGUAAAGAGCUCGUAGGCGGUCUGUCGCGUCGGCUGUGAAAACCUGGGGCUUAACUCCGGGCCUGCAGCCGAUACGGGCAGACUAGAGUUCGGCAGGGGAGACUGGAAUUCCUGGUGUAGCGGUGGAAUGCGCAGAUAUCAGGAGGAACACCGGUGGCGAAGGCGGGUCUCUGGGCCGAUACUGACACUGAGAAGCGAAAGCGUGGGGAGCGAACAGG